rnacentral:rRNA from 1 species
UACGUAGGCAGCGAGCGUUGUUCGGAGUUACUGGGCGUAAAGGGUGUGUAGGCGGUUGUUUAAGUUUGGUGUGAAAUCUCCCGGCUCAACCGGGAGGGUGCGCCGAAUACUGAAUGACUAGAGUGCGGGAGAGGUGAGUGGAAUUCCUGGUGUAGCGGUGAAAUGCGUAGAUAUCAGGAGGAACACCGGUGGCGAAGGCGGCGUUCUGGACUGUUACUGACGCUGAUGCACGAAAGCUAGGGGAGCAAACAGG